GGAUUCCCCUAGUAACUGCGAGUGAAGCGGGAAAAGCUCAAAUUUAAAAUCUGGCAGUCUCUGGCUGUCCGAGUUGUAAUCUAGAGAAGUAAUGCCCGUGCUGGACCGUGUAUAAGUCUCCUGGGAUGGGGCGUCAUAGAGGGUGAGAAUCCCGUCUUUGACACGGACUACCAGUGCAUUGUGGUAUGCUCUCAAAGAGUCGAGUUGUUUGGGAAUGCAGCUCAAAAUGGGUGGUAAAUUCCAUCUAAAGCUAAAUAUUGGCGAGAGACCGAUAGCGAACAAGUACCGUGAGGGAAAGAUGAAAAGAACUUUGGAAAGAGAGUUAAACAGUACGUGAAAUUGCUGAAAGGGAAACGCUUGAAGUCAGUCGCGUUGGCCGGGAAUCAGCCUUGCUUUUGCAUGGUGUACUUUCUGGUUGACGGGUCAGCAUCAAUUUUGACCGCUGGAAAAAGGCCUGGGGAAUGUGGCAGCUUCGGCUGUGUUAUAGCCCCUAGUCACAUACAGUGGUUGGGAUUGAGGAACUCAGCACGCCGCAAGGCCGGGUUUCGACCACGUUCGUGCUUAGGAUGCUGGCAUAAUGGCUUUAAGCGACCCGUCUUGAAACACGGACCAAGGAGUCUAACAUGCCUGCGAGUAUUUGGGUGGAAAACCCAAGUGCGUAAUGAAAGUGAAAGUUGAGAUCCCUGUCGUGGGGAGCAUCGACGCCCGGACCAGAACUUUUGGGACGGAUCCGCGGUGGAGCAUGUAUGUUGGGACCCGAAAGAUGGUGAACUAUGCCUGAAUAGGG
rnacentral:rRNA from 1 species